CGGGGUGUAGCGCAGUCUGGUUAGCGUGCCUCGUUCGGGACGAGGAGGUCGGAGGUUCGAAUCCUCUCACCCCGA
rnacentral:tRNA from 2 species